rnacentral:tRNA from 3 species
GGCGACGUACCCAAGUUGGUAAGGGGCGAGUCUGCAAAACUCUUAUUCCCCGGUUCGAGUCCGGGCGUUGCCU